CUGCCACAGUGAGAGCUGGUAAUGUACUGGGAGAAUCUGGCAAUACUUCAGUUAAAGGAAAGACAAAUUUUUCAAAAGCUCCUACUGGUGUAGCUAAUUCUCUCUCACUAUUACAACCAGUUAAUAACCUCACUUGGAAUGAGGUCAAUUGCUCUAAACGUAAUGGUCUAAUCAUAGGCUAUACAGUGAUUAUCAGUAACAGUAGUAUCACAUACAACCUCACUAGUACUGAGAGAUAUAUCAUAUUGAAUGAUCUAGUAUUUGGUACUGAGUAUAACAUCAGUGUAGCUGCUGUCAAUUCUGUUGGAAGAGGUCCUUUGAGUGAUCCUAUUGCAGUAGAGAUUGGAAUUGUACCUGGUCCAGUUGGUUCAGUAUCCAGUAUCAUGGACACU